AAGUCGUAACAAGGUUUCCGUAGGUGAACCUGCGGAAGGAUCAUUAACACGUAUCCAACGUUAAACCCCCCUGUGAACCUUCAUUGUGCUCCCCCAUUCCGUUAGGACGCGGCAAUCCCUGGUAAAUCAUCACCGAACAGUUUUGAUUCAGGGACCGCAGUAACGAUCGCUAGAGGCCGACACGGCCGGCGACCGGGUCACCGGGCUCACGCCCCCCUAUCACCUUUGCAUGAAAACGGGCCUGCGCUUAAUUGUGCGGCCACCAAACUCGAACAACUGUUAACAAUGGAUAUCUUGGUUCUC
rnacentral:misc_RNA from 1 species